UCGCUUCGGCAGCACAUAUACUAAAAUUGGAACAAUAUACAGAAGAUUGGCAUGACCCCUGCACAAGGAUGACAUGCAAAGUUAUGAACCAUUCCAUAUUUUU